rnacentral:rRNA from 1 species
GAUGAACGCUGGCGGCGUGCCUAAUACAUGCAAGUCGAGCGAAUGGAUUAAGAGCUUGCUCUUAUGAAGUUAGCGGCGGACGGGUGAGUAACAUGUGGGUAACCUGCCCAUAAGACUGGGAUAACUCCGGGAAACCGGGGCUAAUACCGGAUAACAUUUUGAACCGCAUGGUUCGAAAUUGAAAGGCGGCUUCGGCUGUCACUUAUGGAUGGACCCGCGUCGCAUUGGCUAGUUGGUGAGGUAACGGCUCACCAAGGCAACGAUGCGUAGCCGACCUGAGAGGGGGGUCGGCCACACUGGGACUGAGACACGGCCCAGACUCCGACGGGAGGCAGCAGUAGGGAAUCUUCCGCAAUGGACGAAAGUCUGACGGAGCAACGCCGCGUGAGUGAUGAAGGCUGUCGGGUCGUAAAACUCUGUUGUUAGGGAAGAACAAGUGCUAGUUGAAUAAGCUGGCACCUUGACGGUACCUAACCAGAAAGCCACGGCUAACUACGUGCCAGCCGCCGCGGUAA